UACGUAGGGGGCGAGCGUUAUCCGGAGUUACUGGGCGUAAAGGGCGUGCAGGCGGUCGACUAAGUCUGGCGUGAAAGCUCGCGGCUAAACCGCGAGAGGUCGUUGGAUACUGGUUGACUAGAGGACGGUAGAGGCGUGUGGAAUUCCGGGUGUAGUGGUGAAAUGCGUAGAGAUCCGGAGGAACACCGGUGGCGAAGGCGGCAUCCUGGACCGACACUGACGCUGAGGCGCGAAAGCUAGGGGAGCAAACGGG
rnacentral:rRNA from 1 species